rnacentral:rRNA from 1 species
UACGUAGGGGGCAAGCGUUGUCCGGAAUCAUUGGGCGUAAAGCGCGUGUAGGCGGCCCGGUAAGUCCGCUGUGAAAGUCCAGGGCUCAACCCUGGAAUGCCGGUGGAUACUGUCGGGCUCGAGUCCGGAAGAGGCGAGUGGAAUUCCUGGUGUAGCGGUGAAAUGCGCCAGAUAUCAGGAGGAACACCGAUGGCGAAGGCAGCUCGCUGGACGGUACUGACGCUGGAGACGCGAAAGCGUGGGAGCAA